CAUGAUCCACCCUGCUUGGCCUCCCAAACUGUUGGGAUUACAGGCGUGAGCCACUGCGCCUGGCCUAUAUUUUAGUGUUCUAAGAUUUUUCUACAAUGACUCUGUAUUGCUUUUAAUGUCAAAAAUCUCAAUAAUUUUGAAGGUUAUGGUAUUUAUAUACUUUUUUAAAAAAUGACAAAUGUUCUCCCUAAAUCAGAAAUGUGGACACCGUGUUUUGGCUUUAGUGUAGUGAGGUGGAGUAUUAUGAUUAAAUACUGUGUUUUCAAGCAUUAAUGACUCAAAGAGCAGGUACUUACAGAGCACCUAUUAUUGCCAUCAACCAGUGUUAUUGAGCACUUACUCAAUAAGUGUUGGCCUCUGACUUUACGCCUAAGAGUCAGGAGACCACAAAAAAGCAACAAUGUCAGGUCUGCAAGGUGAAGGCAAGAAGCUCAUGUUCUAGGUACUUGUGACUGUCCUGUAAUGCUAAAGAAUGAACCAUUACCAAAGAUUUGGCAAACUCGCCCAAGCUUACUCCUAAGGAGUCUAACCUUUGCCCAAGUAUCUAGGACUCAGGCCCACCUGCUUAGCCUGGUCUCACUGAAGUGUGGAGGCAAAGCAUUUGCAGCUUCAUCAUAUUCCAUUUUGUCUCAUAAGGAAAUUGUGUUAGUCCAAGAGGCUUGGUGUGUUACAUGGUUGUACAGCUUAGUGCUUUCUUAGCACUCUGUUUAAGUGCUGACAACUUGAUAUUUUCAUCAAUGGUUGCUAUAUUUCUCCAAUGUUAGGUUGACAGGCUAAUAAUUUCAGAAGUCAAUUUCUCCCUCUCUCUCUCUUCUCCCAGUUUACAUAUUUCUAUUUUCCAAUUCCUUUAUCUGCAUUUUGUAAAUACCUCAAAAUAGUGGAAGGCAAGGCCUCUAGGAUCACUUGGCCCAAUCUCCAUAUAAUUGGAUCCUUAGGGCUUGCUAUAUCUUUAAAGAAAUUGAGGUCACCUUUUGUCACCAAGAAUUAAGCACCUGUUGUGUGACUGAUGGAGAUCUGUACACAGAGCACAUUGCCCAGGGCAGGGGUGAUUUGGUUACAGGCAGCCUCUCGAUGUAUGAUAAAAGUUGGCAUCAGGUUGUAAACAUUUUGCUCACUGUAGCAGAAAGCUCUCUGUGAACGGAGAGCUGUCUAAACAGGGUGGUUGGCCACAGAACCUGCCCAGGGAUGCACCUCCUUUCCACAUUAGCCCAUGGCCUUUCCAGCCCUGAAAUCUGAGUUGCAUGUGAGUCACUUAGACAGGCCAUCUGUCAAUUAUUAAGCGACAUCAGUGGGCCCAGCAAUUCCAUUCUGCGUAGUGCAAAGGUCCUCCACACAUUCCAGGUCUAUACCAUCAAAGUGGCUAUUUUUCUCAACCUAUCCCUGCCCUUUAAGAAAAUGGGGGUCAUUUAUUUCCAGGGAUCACUAUUUACACCCCAUUGGCAGGUAGUGGAGCCCAGUGGUUAAUAAACAACCUUGUUUUAAAUCCCAUCUCUGUUGUUUGCAAGCUGUGUGUCUUUCAGAAACUUUACUUAAAUUUCUUGAGCAUCAGUUUCCUCACAAGGGUGUGGUCAAGUGAUAAUCAAGUAUUUGUACUUUAACCCUGUACCUGGCUGAUAGCAAGCCCUCAGAAAAGAAUUAACUUAGAGUUUUUAUACAUUCCCUCCAGUACAAUGUUCCUAACAUACAAGGGGCAUAUGUGUGUAUUAUGAGUGGGAAGAAGGAAGGAAGGAUGCAAUUGAUAAGGCUUGCAUUCAACAUUGCUGUAGUCAAACCCUCUUUCCUUAGGAAGAUCUGGAUGUGCCAACAUUUCUUAUAUAUCAUAUGUGGAGGUGACUUAGGUUUUUCUUUCAGUACUUCAUCAUUUGAAAGAGCAUUUGGUGAUAAUGAGCAGGUUCUGAAGUCUGUGAACUAAACUAAAAGUAAAAAUAAAUGGGACGGUGAAAUUUUGUUUGUGCCUUAAGGGAACUCCCUUUUACCCUCCCACUAUGUUGAUGAUGUCAUGUUUGUUCUAACAUAUCAUCUAACAAUUCCCUCCAUUCAUUUUUUUUCUCCUUAUUUCUUUUCCUUUCAAGUAACAGUAUCUUCAACAAUCGUUCGGCUGUUCAGGAACUUAAAAAUCAUGAGACGAUUCUUAAAGGAUAGGAACUAACAUUGAUCACACAGUGUGUAAUCCCACAUCUAUAUACUGGCAAAUGAUGGCACAAACACCAUAAAAUCUCAGCUUGCUUUGUAGCCAUUCUGGAUUGCUGAGUUCUAGGCAAGUAAGAGCUGGUCCUUCAAAGCACCAAAAGAAAGAAAGGAAGGAAGGAAAGAAGGGAGGUGGGCAGAGAGGGAGGGAAGAAGGAAGGAGAGGGAGGGAGGGAGAGAGAGAGAAAGAAAAAGAAAGAAAGAAAGAAAGAAAGAAAAAAGAAAGAAAG
rnacentral:lncRNA from 1 species